GGGGAAUAUUGCACAAUGGGCGAAAGCCUGAUGCAGCAACGCCGCGUGAGUGAUGAAGGCCUUCGGGUCGUAAAACUCUGUCCUCAAGGAAGAUAAUGACGGUACUUGAGGAGGAAGCCCCGGCUAACUACGUGCCAGCAGCCGCGGUAAUACGUAGGGGGCUAGCGUUAUCCGGAUUUACUGGGCGUAAAGGGUGCGUAGGCGGUCUUUCAAGUCAGGAGUGAAAGGCUACGGCUCAACCGUAGUAAGCUCUUGAAACUGGGAGACUUGAGUGCAGGAGAGGAGAGUGGAAUUCCUAGUGUAGCGGUGAAAUGCGUAGAUAUUAGGAGGAACACCAGUUGCGAAGGCGGCUCUCUGGACUGUAACUGACGCUGAGGCACGAAAGCGUGGGGAGCAAACAGGAUUAGAUACCCUGGUAGUCCACGCUGUAAACGAUGAGUACUAGGUGUCG
rnacentral:rRNA from 1 species